rnacentral:rRNA from 1 species
GAUGAACGCUGGCGGCGUGCCUAAUACAUGCAAGUCGAGCGAACGGACGAGAAGCUUGCUUCUCUGAUGUUAGCGGCGGACGGGUGAGUAACACGUGGAUAACCUACCUAUAAGACUGGGAUAACUUCGGGAAACCGGAGCUAAUACCGGAUAAUAUUUUGAACCGCAUGGUUCAAAAGUGAAAGACGGUCUUGCUGUCACUUAUAGAUUGAUCCGCGCUGCAUUAGCUAGUUGGUAAGGUAACGGCUUACCAAGGCAACGAUGCAUAGCCGACCUGAGAGGGUGAUCGGCCACACUGGAACUGAGACACGGUCCAGACUCCUACGGGAGGCAGCAGUAGGGAAUCUUCCGCAAUGGGCGAAAGCCUGACGGAGCAACGCCGCGUGAGUGAUGAAGGUCUUCGGAUCGUAAGACUCUGUUAUUAGGGAAGAACAUAUGUGUAAGUAACUGUGCACAUCUUGACGGUACCUAAUCAGAAAGCCACGGCUAACUACGUG